rnacentral:rRNA from 1 species
AUUGAACGCUGGAGGCAGGCCUAACACAUGCAAGUCGAGCGAGCGGCGGACGGGUGAGUAAUUUCUGGGAAACUGCCUGAUGGAGGGGGAUAGCUACUGGAAACGGUAGCUAAUACCGCAUACCAUCAGAUGUGCCCAGAUGGGAUUAGCUAGUAGGUGGGGUAAUGGCUCACCUAGGCGACGAUCCCUCGCUGGUCUGAGAGGAUGACCAGCCACACGGGAAUGGAGACACGGUCCAGACUCCUACGGGAGGCAGCAGUGGGGAAUAUUGCACAAUGGGCGCAAGCCUGAUGAAGCCAUGCCGCGUGUAUGAAGAAGGCCUUCGGGUUGUAAAGCAAUUUCAGCGAGGAGGCGUUACUCGCAGAAGAAGCACCGGCUAACUCCGUGCCAGCAGCCGCGGUAAUAC